UAGACAGCUGGUAGACAUGCACAGAGAUGGCCUCUGUUCUCAUAAGUCCGCCUAAAAAUGAAUGGUAUAACCUUUCAGGCCUUGUUUUGAGAGGGCGUGGCCAGACACCACAUUGCAUGCUAGAAUGGUAGACCCUUAUAGAUAAUCUAUGGCUAGACCUCUCCUUGCCUUCCUCUUCUUUCACCCCGUCUUCCCUCUCUCUCUCUCUCUCAUUUCCUGCUGUAUUCCCACCCUGCCUGCUGUUGUGUUCUCCAUCCUCUAUCUCAGUCCUUCAUUCCUCUUUUAUUUUAUUUUUUGUAGCCUAGUUUUUACUUUGUUUGUUUUACAAACGUGCAUGCACAGGCAUCACUAAAUUGUUGAUGUUUUUAAAAAGAAUAUUUUGUUGCUGAGGCCAUGCAAAGUGUUUUGAAUAUUGCCCUUAUAUGUGGAAAAUGUCUUCUGAAUGCUUUACAUAAUUUCUGCUGUAAAAUGAAAUCAGAAUAAAAAGAAAAUUUGCACUUUAACUUAUUUUUUCUUUUGCCUGAUUUUUAUUUCUGCAAGAGAAACGUUCAGUCUGUCUUGUCAAGCAUGCUGUCUGUUUAGGCUGCAGGGUGAAAUCUCUACAAAUAAACACGACAGUGUCCUGAAAAUAACAGAAAAUAAACGGUUUGGUAUAGUGACUUGCCCUUAUUCUGACAUCUUAUAUUUCUGGAUUAAAAUGUUCCAUUUACAGGACUGACUGGCAUUUUGAGAUUGGAGUGCAGCAGUGGAAGUGAACCUGGAUGAGGUGAUUAAAGUAGAUAACUUUCAAAGUUGUAGAGUGGCAGGAUUGUUACUUUUUAAUGUACUCAAACAAAAAUGUUAAUUCAGGUAAAUUCUUGCAACCAUGACAUUGUGAAGUCUGUGGACGGUCGAUUGAACAGGCAGGCCAGAACUGAGAAGACAGGCUCAAUCUAAACCCUGAUCAAAAGAGGGAUUAAGCCAUACUGUUAAAGCCAACAUUAUGAAUAUGUAUUUGCUCCAUAAAUACACGUUUGUGCUUAUGAGUUUAAGGGGUCGUCCAUGGAAGCAGAUUACAAAUUUUCAAUAUAAUCUUAUUUAUGAAUAAUUGAGUCGGCAACAUUCAUGAAAAAGAUUUAUUUUAAGCCUAAAUUCACAUAUAAACCUCAAUUUAAACCCUGAUCAAAAGAGAGAUUAAGCUUUUUUGUGUAUGCCAACAGUAUGAAUAUGUAUUUGCACCGUAAGCACACCUUUGUGCCUAUGGGUUUGUGGGAUAUCCGUGGAAGCAGAUUACAAGUUU
rnacentral:lncRNA from 1 species